UACAACGUAAAAUGGGCCACACACCUUGA
rnacentral:sRNA from 1 species